GAUGAACGCUGGCGGCGUGCCUAAUACAUGCAAGUCGAGCGAACGGACGAGAAGCUUGCUUCUCUGAUGUUAGCGGCGGACGGGUGAGUAACACGUGGAUAACCUACCUAUAAGACUGGGAUAACUUCGGGAAACCGGAGCUAAUACCGGAUAAUAUUUUGAACCGCAUGGUUCAAAAGUGAAAGACGGUCUUGCUGUCACUUAUAGAUGGAUCCGCGCUGCAUUAGCUAGUUGGUAAGGUAACGGCUUACCAAGGCAACGAUGCAUAGCCGACCUGAGAGGGGGAUCGGCCACACUGGAACUGAGACACGGUCCAGACUCCUACGGGAGGCAGCAGUAGGGAAUCUUCCGCAAUGGGCGAAAGCCUGACGGAGCAACGCCGCGUGAGUGAUGAAGGUCUUCGGAUCGUAAAACUCUGUUAUGAGGGAAGAACAUAUGUGUAAGUAACUGUGCACAUCUUGACGGUACCUAAUCAGAAAGCCACGGCUAACUACGUG
rnacentral:rRNA from 1 species